UCUCUCUAUAUAUAUAUAUAUAUAUCUAGGGCAAGAGAGCUUCUAGGAAAGCUCAUAAAAUGUAACAACUAUUAGAGAGAGAGAGAGAGUGCUUUGAUGGCCAUAGCUUCUGCUUCUGCUUCUGCUUCUGCUUCAUCUCCUUCUGCCAUUCCUAGUGCACCGCGUCUUUUUUCUCUUUCUGUGAGCUCAAAGAAUGGGCACUUAGUUCAUCUAUAUGAUAUGAAGAUGAGGCUGAUUAGGGCAGGGCAGCUAACAACUUUCUCUCUCUGCCCUUGGAUUGGAUCACUUAGCAUAAUUGGUAUGCCCAAAAAAAACACUUAAUUAGAAGCAAAAUAAUCAUUAUAGUGAUCAUAAUCUGAUCAUAUAUACACAUACAAAAACAAAAACAUUACCCGUGGAGGUACCAAAAAAAAAAAUCGAAAAAGGAUGAAUGCAGUGUUGCCAGUGUAUUGUGUAUUCUGUGUAUUUUUAUAACUGAUUUCCGUGUUUGUGACAAUCAUGGUUUCGACGAGGAGUUCCCCUAUAAACUUCAAAAUUUCUGGUUUUUUUGGCUA